ACAAAGCGCCCUUCCCACGGAGCUGCCUCAGCCCUGGGAUAGACUGUGUGCCUGCAAGCCUUCCCAGCAGGCCUCUGUGAGAGAUGCAAGCAAUCUCGAGUCCUUCAGAGCUGUGCGAGCGUUUGCUCUCUCAGCCUUCGUAGGGCCGGGUGUGACUGUGGGAAAUGCUUGUUCUUAGGAAAGCAGUUGACAGUUAAUGUACGUCAAGACCCCGGUUUGGCCCUAGAGGGAGACCUGGAUGAAUGCAGACACACAGACUGGUGACAACAGUUCAGCUUAUGGGGAGGGGGAUCUGAGGAGACCGAUCAGAGGGAGAGCACUGCUCAAAAAAUACUUGGCAUUUGAAGAACAGUGAACUCACCCAGCAAAUGCCGCUGCUUAAAAGAAAGGCUCUGAGCCCUUCUAGAAGGUUCGCUUGUUUACAGUUCGCAGAAACGUGUUAAUAUGAACAUGCUUUUCUGGUUUCACUGCGGUUUUGCCAAAGACAGCGAGGUGGUCAGUACCUCCCACAGAAAUGCAAAUGACGUGGACUGCACUGUUUUCUCCUUCACGGACCCCGAGGUCAGAGACGAGAAAGUGUUUCUCUGGUUUUAACAUCAUUCGUGUGUGUGUGUGUGUGUGUGUGUGUGCGCGCGUGUGUGCGCGUGUGCGUGUCUGCACGCGUGCACUCGAACACGAGUGCAGGUACGUUGGUAGGGGGCAUCCCGGUCUUCCAUCUUGUUUGAAACAAGGUUUUGUUGUUUCUUGUUUUGUAUGUUGGGUCCUUGAGCUGCCUCGGGCGUUCUCCUGCCUCUACUGAGACUUUGGUCACACAGUGCUUGGCUUACGUGUGUUCUGGUGAUUUGAGCUUAAACCCUCAGGUUUGUGUGACAAGCCCCUUACCCGCUGAGCCUCCGUCUCCAGUCCUCAACGUCACUGUCAUUUAAAACUGCAGUGUGCCAUGGAUGUCCUUAACACAAAUGGAUGCAGGAUGGUGCUCACAAACAGAAGGCCAUGGCAGAAAGCACCCACAGUCCUUUGGGGUUCUGAAGGCAGAAUUCCAUGCGGGUGUUCUCAUACACCCUGCCCCACAAGACUGUGGGCACAGAGCUUCCAGGGGUACACAGGGCACCCCUCCUGCAGCCAGGCCUCGGAGUUCAGAUGUCCACGCCCAAGCCCGUGGGCGCAGGCUCAGCUCUGCUCUGUCCAGGGACCUCGGAACUACAGUCCCUUCCCAAACUGCCCGCGGCGUCCUGUCAACAGAGCAGCAUGUGGCCUCUAAACAGAUCUCUAGUUAAGCCUCCUCAGGAGGGACGCCAGGAAAGCUGCGGCUCCUUCCGCCUUCACAGAACGCCUCCCUGCAGAGCAUCCCCUUAGUUCCUAAGACAAGUCACAAGGGGAAGGCACACCCCCCCGGCAGCCAGUCCUGCGACCUUGACUCUGAGGGCCAAGCUCACCCUCUCUGGGAGGACCCGGAGCCUUAAGCAAGAGCGCCAGCCUACGUGACUCAAACAUACCAUCUUCCUCUUUCAUAAGCAGUCACGUGGUGAGCUACAAUUACAAUUCCUGCCUUGUCUGUGCGAACUGCAGACGCAUUGCCUCACCCCAGAAACCCCGCUCCUGUGUGGAGGAGGCUGCAACUCUGGCAGCAGCAGCCGCUUUGGACCGGAUCCAGCUUCAGUCUGCGCCGGGAGGGAGGGCGGUGGGGGGAAGGCGGAAACAAAGCUAUGUUUACUUAGCAUGCAUCGAUUAAAAAAAAAAGAAAGAAAAAACAGCCAAACUGCUGCGGAGUUCCACCAGCGGCUGUGACACAGGGCAAGGACCUGCCGCCCCGGAUCCAGGACCUGCCUUGACCCCCGGAGCCGGCUUGCUCUUUAUGGCCCGGCAGGCCAGAUCUGAAACAGCCUUUCCGUUUUCCAGCAGGCAGGCAUCUCUAGUGGGGAAGUUCGAACAGUCGAGUUUCGACAUGAAGCCGGGGGUGUGAAAUACAAAGGAAAUGCCGGUCUUGAGAAGUGGAGCUCCAGUUCAGCAUUUCUCAAGGCAGACAUUAUACCUCAGUAAUUCUAUUUUGGGCGCCCGCUGGCAGGUGAACCGGGUGUGAGCAGGCCACGCUUUCACGCAGCCUUCUGCCUUGUUUUAGUGUUUCAGCGUCUUGCCCAGGGGGGACCAUCCCUCAGGGCAGCGAGAUGGCUGCAGAGAGGGCAGCGUCAUCUCCUCCACUCAGUAUCUCCACGAGCAAAACCACACGCUCACACGAGUGGCACAGGGUCUUGGAGGAGAGUGACCAGACUGGCAGGUCCUGGAACAGGUGCCCAAACCAGCUGGCACCAGCUGCUUCUGGGAAUGGAUCCGGGUAGGCCCCAUUCCAGGCUUGGAGAGGGCAAGGCAGGCUUGUGACUGGAACGGGAGAGGGGAGCCCUUGACACAGGUGUGCCUUCUGUGGAAAGCCCCUGAGACGUUCAAGGUUAGCCCGUGGCCGCCCCUGGCACCUGGCGGUAAGCUUUCCGUGCCACCUCCAACAGGUUUGUUCUUGUGCUCAGACAGCUCCCUGGGCCGUCUCUCAUGAGGCGUGUUUCCUCUUGUGGCUAUUCUUUGAAGCAACCUGGCAUUUUCAAUGGCAGCAACCAGAGAGAAACGUCAGCAGAUUUUUUUUCCCUCCCUUUUCAAUCCGGUCCUAGGAAAGAUAAUGUAAUUAGCACCCUGUUCUCCCCACACUUAACCGGCUCACUCCAGUCUUGGGGAGAGCAGCAGGGCCCCUGUUGUUUACCACAGGAGCGGCUCUUACCCAGAGCCAACUGAGCGUGUAGGUGCCAAAUGAGAGGGUCAGCCUGACUGACCGGCCACAGCCAUUACCUGUGCCUGCUCACUAUCAAAGCGGGCAGCCCGCAGUGCCCACGGGGGAAGGGCGCAGCGAGACAAGGCGGCCGACAGCCGGGUGGGCCCACAAGGAGCCAAG